rnacentral:rRNA from 1 species
UACGGAGGGGCGAGCGUUAUUCGGAAUUAUUGGGCGUAAAGGGCUCGUAGGCGGCCAACUAAGUCGAACGUGAAAUCCCCGGGCUCAACCCGGGAACUGCGUCCGAUACUGGAAGGCUUGAAUCCGGGAGAGGGAUGUGGAAUUCCAGGUGUAGCGGUGAAAUACGUAGAUAUCUGGAGGAACACCGGUGGCGAAGGCGGCUACCCGGCCCAACAUUGACGCUGAGACCCGAAAGCAUGGGGAUCAAACAGG